AGAAAGGGAACUCCCUGACCCCUUGCGCUUCCCAAGUGAGGCAAUGCCUCGCCCUGCUUCGGCUCGCGCACGGUGCGCGCACCCGCUGACCUGCACCCACUGUCUGGCACUCCUUAGUGAGAUGAACCCGGUACCUCAGAUGGAAAUGCAGAAAUCACCCGUCUUCUGCGUCGCUCACGCUGGGAGCUGUAGACCGGAGCUGUUCCUAUUCGGCCAUCUUGGCUCCUCCUGUAACAAUUUCUUGAGAUGAAGAUCCUGAAUACCAAAGAGGGCCGCUGACAGGUCUAGGAGUACACUUCUAGCACCUAGCAGAGAGAGGCUUCACUACAUCAUGCUUCCUGACAUCUCUCCCUUUGAAGAGCAGUCAGACUCCUGCUUUGCUCUUCAGACUUAAUUUGGGGGUUUAACAGGUGAGGUUGCUGGGGGAACUCUUUUACAACAUCUCUCUGAAAGAAUCCGGGCUGCCAGUUUCAUUUGGUUUGGGUGUCAGUAGCAUGAUGGAAAGACAAAAAAACACAACUUGACAUCUGCAGAAAUGGGUUCAAAUUUUACCUGCAACUCACCAAUUCUGUGGCCUUGGUUCAGCAAUUAAACUCCCUAAAAUUC
rnacentral:lncRNA from 1 species